UCUUUUUUCUCCUUUUUUCUCUUCUUAAAUGUGAAAUGAUUCGGAGAUUAGAUUUAUUCACGUUUCAGCGCAGAGGCUGCAGGUAUCUGCUAUCAGGGCCCACAGGCCUGUCAGAAAAAGGCCUUUUUGCACACUAUUAAAAUCAGACCAUGCUGAGGAGGUAAAUAUACAAACUAGGCCCGGGCCUAUCCAGGCCUGACGCUGACGCUGGGCCUGCCAGGCGCGCCUAUUAGAAAUAGAAAAUAAAAUAAAGAAAACAUUCCCGGACAUUAAAUAAAUGCAUUUUAAAAAUAGUUACAAUGCAGUGAGCUUCCGAGCUGUACGUCGUACAAACUUAUCAACGACAAAUACUGAUCUGAAUUGUAGCCUACAUUUCUCAAUUCAAUUUUUUCCGCUACAUUUAAAUGACAGAUUUAGGCUAUUUAUUUUGUACACUCCGAUUUUACAUUUGUAAUAUGUCAUC